GGAUGUGAGGGCGAUCUGGCUGCGACAUCUGUCACCCCAUUGAUCACCAGGGUUGAUUCGGCUGAUCUGGCUGGCUAGGCGGGUGUCCCCCUCCUCCAUCACCGAUCCAUAUGCAUCCCUCCCGAAGCUGCGCACUCGGUCGAAGAGGACAACCUUCCCCCUCAAGGAGAGGACCGGUCUUCGGUCAAGGGUAUACGAGUAGCUGUGCUCCCCUGCUAGAACCUCCAAACAAGCUCUCAAGAAAGCCCACUGCAUGGGAGAAUAUAUUUGCCAAUGUUAUCACCAAUAAGUGUUUAAUCUCUAUGU
rnacentral:snRNA from 1 species